rnacentral:tRNA from 1 species
GGCGAGCGUAGCCAAGUGGUUAAGGCAGAGGUUUGUGGUUCCUCCACGCGUGGGUUCAAUUCCCAUCGUUCGCC